rnacentral:lncRNA from 1 species
AUGCAUAUGUUAAAUUUUUUGGAUCACAUAAAAGGGGAAAACCACUAAACUUAUUGCUUUAAUCUUCAAUGGUAGAAUUUUGAUUUUUAAUUAGAUUCCAAUUUUGCAUUUUAAAUGAAUUCCAAAUGCUUAGCAAAAUUGAUUUGGAUAUAAGAAACCAUUAUUAUUUUCAUUUGACAAAGUCCAAAACAUAUAGAAUCAUUAAGAACCGAC